rnacentral:rRNA from 1 species
GACGAACGCUGGCGGCGUGCUUAACACAUGCAAGUCGAACGAAGAGCGAUGGAAGCUUGCUUCUAUCACUCUUAGUGGCGAACGGGUGAGUAACGCGUAAUCAACCUGCCCUUCAGAGGGGGACAACAGUUGGAAACGACUGCUAAUACCGCAUACGAUCCAAUCUCGGCAUCGAGGAUGGAUGAAAGGUGGCCUCUAUUUAUAAGCUAUCACUGAAGGAGGGGAUUGCGUCUGAUUAGCUAGUUGGAGGGGUAACGGCCCACCAAGGCGAUGAUCAGUAGCCGGUCUGAGAGGAUGAACGGCCACAUUGGGACUGAGACACGGCCCAGACUCCUACGGGAGGCAGCAGUGGGGAAUCUUCCGCAAUGGACGAAAGUCUGACGGAGCAACGCCGCGUGAGUGAUGACGGCCUUCGGGUUGUAAAGCUCUGUUAAUCGGGACGAAAGGUCCUCUUGCGAAUAGUUAGAGGAAUUGACGGUACCGGAAUAGAAAGCCACGGCUAACUACGUG